GCUUCUCCUCGCUGGAGGAGCAUCGCCAGCACAUCCAGGAGUUCCACCCGAAAGAGUUCCACAAGUGUCCCACAUGUAGCAAGGUGUUCACUAGCGCUGCCCUGCUGGAAAAACACAUGGGCACACACACCGGGGCCAAGCCCUUCAGCUGCGACCUCUGCAACAAGUCUUACCAGCAACUGUCAGGCCUGUGGUACCACAAACAGGACCAACCACCCAGAGGUGUUUGCUAACCCACACGCGACAGCUCAAGUCCCUGGUCCAGUGUGACGUCUGCUUCAAGUUCUUCCCCAGCGCCGCCACUGUGGCCAAACACCAGGCUGCUGAGCACCAAGGCUCCACGGAGGCGGCGGCGGUGGUUGCGUGUCCGUACUGCCCGGCCGUGUUUGGCGGGGAGGAGGAGAUGCAGGACACGUGGGCAGCCAGCACGGCGGCCAGAGCGCCGAGGCGUUCAGCUGCCCGCAUCUGCUCCCUGGCCUGCGCCUCCCAGCUGGAGCUGCAGGAGCACCUGCUCUCCUGUCACAUGGAGACACAGGAGGAGCAGGAGGUCGAGGAGGAGCAGGCCUCCACUUCCUACACGGUGAUUGCAGCAGAUCCAACAGGCAACAAAAGGGCGGAGCCAAUCCUCUCUGAGGAGCAGGAACAGCUGGCAGCUGCCCAGCAGGUGUUUGUGGCUCUGGCAGGUGGGCGAGAGGGCGAGUUGUCGACAGAGGUGGUGGAGGUCAACAUGUAUGACCUGCUGAACAGCUCGGUCACCUUCAUCUGUGAGGACAAACUGCCAGGUCCUGGCUCUUAACCAUGAACUCUGACCCCUGGAAGAUGAGUCCGGAGCGCUGGGCAGCUUUAUGGGUUUAUGGACUCUUCUCAUCAUUAAACCACUACAACACAGGCUAAACUGACUCAACUCACAAGCCAGGGACUCUUUGUGAUGUAGGUUCAUGUUUAGUCCAUGAUGAUCGUUUCUGUAGUAGAGCUGUUUUUCAGUUUAAAUUAAAUGUGGUGAAUGUGUGUUUGACUUUACAUUAAAUACAGAAACCCAGGUUGGCUUAUAAAGAGUUGUGUCAAAUGCAAAGGCAGAAAAACAAACCAGAGCUCCGUCAGGCUGCUUUGGCUGUCUCCACUUUAGUUACUCAAUCUGGUAAAGGGGAAAAACGCCUCUGUUUGUGUCUCUUUACACCAAUCACAAUCGUCCUGGUCGGCGUUAAGCACAGAAUGCAGUGACGGUGCCCUUCGAAAUUAGAUACUGCUUGAGAUAGGCAGCCAAAGUCAGGCUUACACCCAGCGGUGUAGUGGUGGCUGAUGAGCUGGCUGAACUAGAUCGACGGGAAGGUUACUGAGGAGGUGUGCGUUUACUCUGCUAUAUUGUAUAUUCCAAUGUGUAUAUAUAAAACACUGUAAACGCUUCUACUCCCAGUCUGUGUACGGUGUGUCGGACUAGGACGUGAGUAAAGUGAAAGUUAACGUCCAUGGAUAAAACGUUCACUAGUGUUUUAUUGAGCUUUUAAAAACAACUCGGCAAACUGCCUUUACCAUUUUUGCCCAAAGAAUAUAUAUAUUUAUAUGAUAAGGAAAUAUGCCACAACAUUUGUUUGGAUUGGUCAAAAGUCUUGAAAUCUAGUUUGACAUCAACAAUCACACUUCUAUCAAUGGUCAAAGUCAGGAUUUAUUUGUAAGAUUAUGACAACCACUGUCAUUGUGUUUAAUAAAUGUCUUGCAUGCCUUUUUUGUACACUGCAUAUGUGUGCAUAUAUUUCAUAUUCAAUUUAAUGACUCCAUAUAUAUAUAUACAAAAGACAUUUGCUUAUUAUAUUAUAUUUAGUCAUUGGACAUGGGACGAAGACCAAGAACAGGCAGUAACAAUUUAGGAUUGUUUUAAUUAAUUUCACUAUAUUUUCAC
rnacentral:lncRNA from 1 species